GUAGGGGGCGAGCGUUAUCCGGAUUUAUUGGGCGUAAAGUGUGCGUAGGCGGUUUAUUAAGUCUAAAAUUAAAGCCUGCGGCUUAACCUCAGUUCGUUUUAGAAACUGGUAGACUUGAGUAUGGUAGAGGCAAGUGGAAUUUCUAGUGUAGCGGUUAAAUGCGUAGAUAUUAGAAGGAACACCAGUGGCGAAGGCGGCUUGCUGGGCCAUUACUGACGCUGAGGCACGAAAGCGUGGGGAGCAAA
rnacentral:rRNA from 1 species